rnacentral:rRNA from 2 species
UAAAACUUUCAACAAUGGAUCUCUUGGUUCCGGCAUCGAUGAAGAACGCAGCGAAAUGCGAUAACUAGUGUGAAUUGCAGAAUUCCGUGAAUCAUCGAGUCUUUGAACGCACAUUGCGCCCCCUGGUAUUCCGGGGGGCAUGCCUGUCCGAGCGUCAUUG